CGCCGCCGCCCCGCCUCCCGCUCCGCCGCCGAGAGGCUAUCAAGCAGCCGGCAUCGAUAUCCGAGAGGAGUCACCCUUCGCCGCCGCCGAGAUCCCGUGCCUCUCUACAGAUCCCUCUCGCUCUCCUCUUCGCCCAUCCACCCGGAUCAAAAGUCGAAACCCGCCGCCCCUAUGUCUCUGCUGGUGCUCGACGGAAGACGAGGGCGGCUCCUCCCAGCGAUUCCCCGUGGUCCUCGGCGGAGGUGACGGCUAGCUGCAGCGAAAAGACAAUGGGGUGAUGCUCACCUUCGCCGAGGAGAAGAUGCUCACCUUCUCGCCCCUCCCCCUACCGUGAUGUACGUGGAUGAAUCCGACGGCAACGAGGAUGACCUCGUAGGAUCCAACCACGGUUGUGCGGAAUUUCGCGGGGACGAAUCUACCCGGCCUCUCGUCCUAUCCGCCGCCGGUAGAGGCAUCCAUGUACGAUGGUGUGAAUUUUGGCUGGUUCCAUGAGCACUUCGUUCCCUGGGGUGUAGUCUUCGUUGAUUCGGGAAAAUGGUGGUUGUCUGUUUAGCCAUUUCAAUCUGCUAUUGAUCAUGCUCAUUCUUGUUAUAUUCAGUUAUAUUGGAAACACCAUCUGAUUCAGUUAUAUUCUUGAUCAUGCUCAUGCUCAUCCUUAUUCAAAUAAGAAUACUUCUGUUUGGAGAGCUCGGGCGUCAGCUGUGUGGAAGCACCAGCUGAUUUGUAACUGGUCGGAAGGUCCUUGGGGUUGGGUGCGGCAACUCGCGACUCGAAGACAUUUCGUGCAUGUGCUCCCCUGCGCUUGGUGACCAAUACAUCUACUCUGUCGUGAACAUGUGCUUCGUGUCAUACAGGUCGCCGCCAAGGGUGAGCUCAUGCAGCGGUAUAGGUUAUGUGCAUUAUUGAUCAACCAAUCUUGAGAGAGAGAUGGGUUGGCGUGAAUGGGAAGAAAACUACAUUGAAUGGACAAGAAGUAUGCCCUCAACUUUUUCAUGGUAUGUCUUACUUAUUGUUCUUGUGAUUUUUCCAUCAGUUUCACUUUACAUUUCUUCUUUGCUUUUUCAUGGCAUCGGGAUGCCCACUGCCGACGGCGCUGCGUUGCUACCAAAGGGGCACCCUGCCGCGGCCGGGGACUCGCUGCCGUCGAAGCACGACACCUUGCCGUCACGUAUGUUGGGUGUUGUGGUGCUGCAGGUCCUUGGGGUUGGGUGCGGCAACUCGAGACUCGAAGACGAUCUUCUGUGGUAGGGCGUCGCCGGCGGCGGCGGCACCUGUAUAGACCGUCUCGGUGUGACAGAAGAGUUCGGAGUUCACUCCAAGAAAGAAUAGCUUUGCAUGUACAUUUGCUGAAAGACUGAUGUGCUGAACUUUCGAUGAUUUUGAUUGGUAUUCAACUUGAGGAAUUUCAUACUUUUGGAGUGGAUCUAUCAAAUAUAUGUGUGCUCGAUGUUGGUGUUUUAAUCCGGAUCUCUCGCUGAAGGUGCUUGAUGUUGGUGUUUGAAUACUGCUACCGUACUUCAAGUCUAUGAAGAAUUGCAAGGAGGAGGAUAAUAGAGCAGCAACCAGAGCUGACAAUUGGCCUGUAAAUGCAGCAAAGUUCUCCUAGAGGUAGCGGGGCGCUUGAGGUGAGGUGGCUGCAGGGUCGCUCGAGAAGAACAGGCUCAUCAGCACCACCUGGAUGCCUUCGUCAUCAGCAAUGUGGACAAGGUAAAGUGGGAUGGUGGGAUUGUAUAGUGUUCAUAAGCCAGUCCGGGCAUUGUCCUUCCUCGAAUGAAUCUGAGACUACUCCUCAUAUGUUAAUCAGUUGCUCCUCCCUAGCUUUGGUUUGGUCUGAACUUCAAAGUUUUCAUCCACUCAAUGUUGAUUCAGUCAAAGAUCUCUUGGAAAAAUUAUUUCGACAAGAUUCACUCUAUAAUGUUGUUAUCAUUGUCCUCUGGAAUAUAUGGAAGCGCAAAAACUCCAAGGUCUCCCGAGAUGUUUGUGAGGAAUUGCACAUUACUGCUAGCAAGAUUGCUGAUGAUUGAUACCAUGGUCCAACAGUUUUAUGAAGUGGUUCAGGCUGGCGUAAGCCGCCAUACUCCCAGUAAAAAAAGGCUACAAGCUUCGCUUCGGCCUUUCGGAACUGAAUAUUAUGUAGUUUUAUUGAGAUUAUUGAUAGUGCUUCUGUACUAUCAAAGAAGGUAAUAGUCUCUUAUGUGUUUCUUUUUGUCCAUUUGAAUGCACUCCAUUUUUUAGUGUAUUAAUUAACAUCAAAUCUCCCAUUCUUUCUAGAGUACUGAUGUAUUAGUAUUUUCAGCUUAACACAUUUAACUUCCUAUAGAUUUCAUGGUUUAUGCAGAUUAACCGAGCUAAGAAUUUUUGUGAAGCUAAAGCUGGUGUUAAGAUGAACGCCGCUAUGUAUAUAUUUGAAACAGUUAGAUACAUGCUUGACAGACUAUAUAGGGGUGAUCAAAACCAUGCGAAGCAUUAUGGGACAAGUUUCUCUACCUUAAAUAAGUGUUCGUUCUCUCGUGUUUACUAUUCAUUUAAGGGUCAUUAACCCGUGUAUUUAUUUUCAUUGACCAAGUUUUACAUUUUUCUUCAGUAGUGUUCAUUGUGCAGUUCUAGAUUGUUAAGAGAGUAGAGUUUAUUGAUUUAUUACAUGGAGAGACCAGUAGUGUCGUAGUGGUCUUGACAUAAUUGCUAACAUUUUCUACUAGGCAAAGUUUAAUUGCACUAAAUACAAAUUAGAACAUGCAUAGACAUUUAUCUUCUUUCUACAGAAUGGUUAGUGUAAACGUACUUUGAGUUGUACAUGAUUCUGUAUCUCACCAUUUUAUCUCAUAUGUUGAUGUGGUUGCAGAUAUGAACUUCAAAUUAUCCUGCAAUGUAUUGACUGCUCGGAGCUAACUUGACUAUGCCAGUUUUCUUUUAUGGCUCAAAGUAGUUAGUGUCCCCCCUUAUUAUGAGAGAGCCUCGUAGGUAUAUCAAGUGGCACUUGGCUGAUCGCUCGCGCUGCCUCCAGGGGGGCGGCUCGGGCGAACCCUAGCCGCCGCCGCCCCCGACCCCCAUCCACUUGCUUCCCCCGCCGCCGCCGGAGGAAGCCGGCGAGCGAAGCUCGUCCGGCGGACGGCGGUGGCGGGCUCGCCUCCUUUUCUCCUCGAGGGGGCCUCUGGCUGGCGCGCAGCGGUGCCCCUGGGCGCCAUGCGGGGCGGCGGAGUCCGGAUGCUGGGGCGGCGGCCCCAGGGGUUCUUGGCGGGGCUGGGCAACCACGGCUGCGUGGGCAGCCUGGGUGGCCGGCCGUGGCUUCCGGUGGCGGCGGAUCUGGGGUUCCUGUCCAGAUCCGUUUUGCAGGGGUGAUUUGGCGCCUCCUACUCCCCGGGGCGGCGGCCUCGGCCGAUGGGCGCGGUGCAGCCGGCGGGCUGUGCCGGUGGGCUCUGGUGGGCAGCCUCCCACGGCCGCGCGGGCGGCGUGGGGGCUGCGGACGCUGGCGCAGUGGCGGCUCCUCGCAAUCCGUCAUGGCUCCAUGUAGAAGAUCCGCCCCUGCUUCGAUCUGUCCCGAUCCGUGCUGGUGCCGGUCCUUGGCGGCGGCUUCGGCGUCCCCUAUGGCCGGCCUGGCGGACCUGGCGUGCGGGUGAGGUUCCGGGGGAAACCCCUGGCUGGCGCGGCAGCCUCCCCAAAGUCGACGCCUUUGGCGCUGAUUCCCUUCCUGAAGGCUUUGGGGUGGAUCCUCUCCCUUCCGCCUCCUCCUCGAGCUAUGGCGAAAGCUUUUGUUCCCCUGGUCUGGGCGUCGACGGCACCCUGGUGUCGUGCUCCUUCUUGAAGGCGGCGGCUGGGAACAACUCUUGGUGGCGGGGCUGCUGGUGGCGUGGUGGCGGUGCGCUUCGGCCUUCUACUUGGUGCCGCGCCUUGCUUCGCGGGACCAGCGGACGGUUUCUUUGGUGGAGCGGUGCUUCAUCCAUACAUUG